rnacentral:misc_RNA from 1 species
GUGAAUCAUCGAAUCUUUGAACGCACAUUGCGCCCCUUGGUAUUCCGAGGGGCAUGCCUGUUCGAGCGUCAUUGAAAGACCGUCAAGCCCCGGCUUGGGAUUGGGCGCCGUCCCCGCGGCGGACGCGCCCCAAAGACCUCGGCGACGGCACCGCGGCCUCAAGCGUAGUAGAACUUCUCGCCGCUUGCGGAGGCCCGGGGCCGCCAGCUCCCAGCGACACCUUAACCCAGUGUUGACCUCGGAUCAGGUAGGGAUACCCGCUGAACUUAAGCAUAUCAAUAAGCGGAGGA